AAGUCGUAACAAGGUUUCCGUAGGUGAACCUGCGGAAGGAUCAUUAUCGAAUAGCGCUCUCGGGCGUUCAUUCUCCCGGCUGUGCGCCCCUCGCGGGGCUUGCACGCCGGGGAUUCCACACACCUGUGCACGUUUCGUUCGGUCGGGUUAACGCCCGCCGUCCGCCUUUACAUUUAACGUCUGUCUCGAAUGUCAUUUUACCAUAAAACAAUACAACUUUCAGCAACGGAUCUCUUGGCUCUC
rnacentral:misc_RNA from 1 species